UACGUAGGGGGCUAGCGUUGUCCGGAUUUAUUGGGCGUAAAGAGCGUGUAGGCGGCCAGGUAGGUCUGGUGUGAAAACUCGAGGCUCAACCUCGAGACGUCGGUUGAAACCACCUGGCUAGAGUCCGGAAGAGGAGAGUGGAAUUCCUGGUGUAGCGGUGAAAUGCGCAGAUAUCAGGAAGAACACCAAUGGCGAAAGCAGCUCUCUGGGACGGUACUGACGCUGAGACGCGAAAGCGUGGGGAGCGAACAGG
rnacentral:rRNA from 1 species